AUUGAACGCUGGCGGCAUGCUUUACACAUGCAAGUCGAACGGCAGCACAAACUUCGGUUUGGUGGCGAGUGGCGAACGGGUGAGUAAUGCAUCGGAACGUGUCCUGAAGUGGGGGAUAACGCAUCGAAAGAUGCGCUAAUACCGCAUAAUCUCUGAGGAGAAAAGUGGGGGAUCGAAAGACCUCAUGCUUUUGGAGCGGCCGAUGUCUGAUUAGCUAGUUGGUAGGGUAAUGGCCUACCAAGGCGACGAUCAGUAGUUGGUCUGAGAGGAUGGCCAGCCACACUGAGACUGAGACACGGCCCAGACUCCUACGGGAGGCAGCAGUGGGGAAUUUUGGACAAUGGGCGCAAGCCUGAUCCAGCCAUGCCGCGUGAGUGAAGAAGGCCUCGGUU
rnacentral:rRNA from 1 species